AAAUUACGGAGAGUUUGAUCCUGGCUCAGAACGAACGCUGGCGGCGUGCUUAAUACAUGCAAGUCGAACGUGAUUCCCGACUUCGGUUGGGAUGA
rnacentral:rRNA from 1 species